UUUAGACCGGAUGGGGGGAGAGGCCCUACAACGCCCGUAUGCACCCCCACAGCCCUGUUAGGGACAGGAGGAGAACCUCGCCCUAACUUGAGCAAGGUCGAAGGCCCGGUUCCAUUUAGACCGGAUGGGGGGAGAGGCCUUACAACGCACUAAUGCGCCCCCACAGUCCUGUUAGGGACAGGAGGAGAACCUCGUCCUAACUUGAGCAAG
rnacentral:lncRNA from 1 species